AUCGGUGAUUCCAGGGGAUACUCACCAGGUGGGAUUGGCAGCGGCACCGCGGCAGCACAUAACAUGUCCCAUGAAGCCAGAAGCAGUGGCGGUGGGAUGCCUUCAGGGGGCACCACUUCCACUGUGCAGUCAGUCUCAAUGGGUGGAAAUGCUGGAGUACAUUAAGAAGAGACAAGGACAGGGUGCUGAUGGGCACUGAAGAUGAUCGUUUCCCUCCAGGCAACGCCAUGCUGUGUAACUCAAUAAAAUGAUUUUAGAACCUUU